rnacentral:rRNA from 1 species
GACGAACGCUGGCGGCAUGCCUAACACAUGCAAGUCGAGCGAGCAGAUCCCUUCGGGGUGAAGCUAGCGGCGGACGGGUGAGUAACACGUGGGCAACCUGCCUCAUAGAGGGGAAUAGCCUUCCGAAAGGAAGAUUAAUACCGCAUAAGAUUGUAGCUUCGCAUGAAGCAGCAAUUAAAGGAGCAAUCCACUAUGAGAUGGGCCCGCGGCGCAUUAGCUAGUUGGUGAGGUAACGGCUCACCAAGGCGACGAUGCGUAGCCGACCUGAGAGGGUGAUCGGCCACAUUGGGACUGGGACACGGCCCAGACUCCUACGGGAGGCAGCAGUGGGGAAUAUUGCACAAUGGGGGAAACCCUGAUCCAGCCAUGCCGCGUGUGCGAUGAAGGCCUUCGGGUUGUAAAGCACUUUUGGCGGGGACGACGAUGACGGUACCCGCAGAAUAAGUCACGGCUAACUUCGUGCCAGCAGCCGCAGUAA